AUUGAACGCUGGCGGCAGGCCUAACACAUGCAAGUCGAGCGGCAGCGGGAAAGUAGCUUGCUACCUUUGCCGGCGAGCGGCGGACGGGUGAGUAAUGCCUGGGGAUCUGCCCAGUCGAGGGGGAUAACUACUGGAAACGGUAGCUAAUACCGCAUACGCCCUACGGGGGAAAGCAGGGGACCUUCGGGCCUUGCGCGAUUGGAUGAACCCAGGUGGGAUUAGCUAGUUGGUGAGGUAAUGGCUCACCAAGGCGACGAUCCCUAGCUGGUCUGAGAGGAUGAUCAGCCACACUGGAACUGAGACACGGUCCAGACUCCUACGGGAGGCAGCAGUGGGGAAUAUUGCACAAUGGGGGAAACCCUGAUGCAGCCAUGCCGCGUGUGUGAAGAAGGCCUUCGGGUUGUAAGGCACUUUCAGCGAGGAGGAAAGGUUGGUAGCUAAUAACUGCCAGCAGUGACGUUACUCGCAGAAGAAGCACCGGCUAACUCCGUGCCAGCAGCCGCCGUAAAAC
rnacentral:rRNA from 1 species